rnacentral:misc_RNA from 1 species
AAGACUAUAGACCUGCGGAGUACCUGCGGAGGGAUCAUUACCGAGUGCGGGCCCUCUGGGUCCAACCUCCCACCCGUGUUUAUUGUACCUUGUUGCUUCGGCGGGCCCGCCAUUCUGGCCGCCGGGGGGCUUGCCCCCGGGCCCGCGCCCGCCGAAGACACCCUCGAACUCUGUCUGAAGAUUGUAGUCUGAGGGGAAUUAUAAAUUAUUAAAACUUUUAACAAUGGAUCUCUAGAUCGG